rnacentral:misc_RNA from 1 species
UUAAGUUCAGCGGGUAUUCCUACCUGAUCCGAGGUCAACCUUGAUAUAAGGGGGUGUUUUACGGCCGGUACCCGACGCGUGCCCUGAGCGAGGAUGUUUACUGCACUCGGUACGACGACGAGCCCGCCACUGGGUUUGGGAGCCUGCGGCAGCCGCAGGGCUCCAACACAAGCACAGGCGCUUGAUGGUUGAAAUGACGC